AGAUGGCUGCUGCAAGGACCAGGAACAGUCAGUGAUCAGAGGAGCUGCCUAUGAGACAUGUUGAGAAGAAUGGCUGCCAGUAUAUGGGGUCUUGAUGCUGCAAACCUUAGGUACAGAGACACCAAGAUUGAUGAGAGGCAGCCUUCCAUGCAACUUUGAGCAAGCUCCUUUGACUUCAGCCUCAGCUCUGCCACCUCCGAGUCCCUGUCCUUGCCAUGGUGGUGGCCUGCAGCCCUGGCCAGGCUCCAGCUCCCUUCUUGGCUGGCUGGCACAGAGAGCUGCUCAGCCCAGGCCCUGUACCCUGCCCCUGCCAGCCCUUCUCCUUGGGUCUCUUUCUGCCCAUGGGAUCUCUUUUCUCUGUGUCAACCCUUUCCUUAACCUUCCUCUAAGUUUUAUAACUGCAAAGGAACAGUUAACUUCAGUCUUGUUCUCUUUUGCUUUGCAUGUUUAAGUCAAGCCUGGAAAAGAAUUUUCUGAAGUGACACUGCAACAAAUCCCAAACUGUUGUGCUCAGUGACUAUUAUCACUUGUUUAAUCUUUGACUGUUUUUUAAAUAGUAAAACCAUCUGAGCCUCUGAUUUAUGAGCCUGUUUUGAUAUGAGUAAGAGUCCCUUCCCCCAGAGGGAAGUUUUUCCUAUCAUAUAAUACAGAGCAAGGUAGAAAAGGCCCUGACUUGCAUUUGCGGUGUCAUUCCCAUCUUAAGCUGCGUAAAUAAUGGAUUUAUGGCCAUGAUCCCUUGAAACAUCCCACUUAAUUAAACUGGCUUUUGUCUUAA